UACGUAGGGGGCUAGCGUUGUCCGGAAUCAUUGGGCGUAAAGCGCGUGUAGGCGGCCCGGUAAGUCCGCUGUGAAAGUCGGGGGCUCAACCCUGGAACGCCGGUGGAUACUGUCGGGCUAGAGUCCGGAAGAGGCGAGUGGAAUUCCUGGUGUAGCGGUGGAAUGCGCAGAUAUCAGGAGGAACACCGAUGGCGAAGGCAGCUCGCUGGGACGGUACUGACGCUGAGGCGCGAAAGCGUGGGGAGCGAACAGG
rnacentral:rRNA from 1 species